CCCCCCCCUUUUUUUUCUAAGAAUGCUUUUUAAAAAAUUGAUAAUUAAAAUUGCUUUUUAGGCCACUUAACCUGGAUGAGCAGCAAGUGGUAUGGAGUACCUACAAACAAAACACCACACUGAAAUAUCUUGUUGUUGUUAAUCCACACGGUGCUGUAAUGUUUAUUUCAAAAACAUCUGGAGGAAGAGUGUCUGACAAAGAACUGACAUUGUCAAGUGGUUCGUGACAAUCCCACUUGAAAAUUCCAUCGGGACUGCAACCCAGAAGUGGGUACUUGAGGUUUAUCAUAAGCCCGCAGUCCUCUAUACGUGCAUUCACAUGCUGCUGCCGCAAAUGGGCGAGGCUUCACCCACUAGCUUGGCAAGUCAAUUGGAGCAGCACUGCUAGUAUUGACUUGCAUCCAGAAAUCAAUGGCGAAGCACACUGCCACAACAUGACUACAGGCCCGCCCCAACCUGGACCUGCAGGGAAUAUCAUUAGAAUCCACCAUGAACCAUUUUCCAGCUUUCGACUUGCUACUAGAGCGGCUCGUAACAUAAAUGAAAACAGAAGUGGCCAAACACAAUUAUAGGUUUCACUGCUUUCUGUGGUACAGACAAGCAAACAAAGCCAAGGAAAGCAUAGCAGGUUUUUACUGAAGUGUAUUAAUUACGAUGCAAAGAGAAAUAAAAGUGGCUUCACACGACUGUGUUAACAAAAAGAAGCCAGUUGAUUGAUUCCCUUUCCUUCGGUCACUAGGUGUUAUUUUGAUUUACAUACUCUAGUUAAUCUAUAUUGUCACAAGCCAUGGCAAAGACAAAGACGUUGUAGUGGGGCUGGGUCAGAGGCUCUUCUGUCAGACUGAAACCUGCUGGAACCUGUGCGCUUUGUGCAGUCUUGACUGGUAAUUAAAUACUCCCCGUAACAAUAUUGUGCAUCCAUUCAUAGCCAUCUUAACUAUUGCAUAACUUCCUGGGGUCAAACCUAGCACUCCCAUCUUUCUUCCUUACAAUAUGUCCAAAAUCAAGCAAUCCGAAUUAUUACUAAGAGUAUUCGCCGAUCACAUGUUACCAAACUGUGCUGCGAUCUUGACAUAUUCUGCAUUACUAAUCUUGUGAAAUUUGAUGUUUACAUACUUGUAUAUCGAACAAUUACAGACCAUCACCUUUUUAAACUUGUUUUCAUGCAAGGACUUACCAAUACAAAUAAUAUACGUUUUCCAUUUUUUAAAUUGUGGAAUUCCUUGCCUCAUAAUAUUAAAAAUCCUCUUUCUGUUUCAUCCAAGGGGCCCACGAUGCCGCGGCCAGGUACUCCCUGCCUGUCCCAACGUGGGAGCGGCCCGCAGGGGGGUCGGGGUAAAACCCGGCUCUCCUCCCUCGGUCUUUAAUAAAGUUAUUUAUCUAUCUAUCUAUUUCUGUUUCAUCAUUUAAACCUUUGCUUCAUGAUUUUAUUUGUAACCAAUAACACAAAUAGACUAGUGAAAUAACCUGACCUUUAUCGUUAUGUGCUGAAUAUUGACUACGUAUUUAUUUAUAUUGACUAGAAUUGUUUAAUCACUGAAUUGAUUGUACUUGUUUAUUUGUUGUAUUCAUAGUUGUGUUACUGCUCGUAUUUUAUUGCAACAGGUUUUUGGUUAUUAUUUUUUCUGCUGUCUAGUAGUUUUACAUUUCAUGUAACAUAUUAUAGGAGGUCCCCCUACAUUGUUUUCACAAUGGAACCUCCUUCUGCAUGAUAUUAUACCCACUACUCUACAUGUAUUUUACCACAAUAAACUGCUAACUGUAUGGUAUGAGCAAUAAUCUGGAAGAGACAUUACUCUGCCAUGCAUGUACACCUGG